AGUCGAGCGAACGGACGAGAAGCUUGCUUCUCUGAUGUUAGCGGCGGACGGGUGAGUAACACGUGGAUAACCUACCUAUAAGACUGGGAUAACUUCGGGAAACCGGAGCUAAUACCGGAUAAUAUUUUGAACCGCAUGGUUCAAAAGUAAAAGACGGUCUUGCUGUCACUUAUAGAUGGAUCCGCGCUGCAUUAGCUAGUUGGUAAGGUAACGGCUUACCAAGGCAACGAUGCAUAGCCGACCUGAGAGGGUGAUCGGCCACACUGGAACUGAGACACGGUCCAGACUCCUACGGGAGGCAGCAGUAGGGAAUCUUCCGCAAUGGGCGAAAGCCUGACGGAGCAACGCCGCGUGAGUGAUGAAGGUCUUCGGAUCGUAAAACUCUGUUAUUAGGGAAGAACAUAUGUGUAAGUAACUGUGCACAUCUUGACGGUACCUAAUCAGAAAGCCACGGCUAACUACGUGCCAGCAGCCGCGGUAAUACGUAGGUGGCAAGCGUUAUCCGGAAUUAUUGGGCGUAAAGCGCGCGUAGGCGGUUUUUUAAGUCUGAUGUGAAAGCCCACGGCUCAACCGUGGAGGGUCAUUGGAAACUGGAAAACUUGAGUGCAGAAGAGGAAAGUGGAAUUCCAUGUGUAGCGGUGAAAUGCGCAGAGAUAUGGAGGAACACCAGUGGCGAAGGCGACUUUCUGGUCUGUAACUGACGCUGAUGUGCGAAAGCGUGGGGAU
rnacentral:rRNA from 1 species